rnacentral:rRNA from 1 species
CAGCCAUGCCGCGUGAGUGAAGAAGGCCUUAGGGUUGUAAAGCUCUUUCGUCCGCAAAGAUAAUGACUGUAGCGGAAGAAGAAGCCCCGGCUAAAUUCGUGCCAGCAGCCGCGGUAAUACGAAUGGGGCGAGCGUUGUUCGGAAUCACUGGGCGUAAAGCGUACGCAGGCGGUCAUGAAAGUUAGAAGUGAAAGCCCAGGGCUCAACCCUGGAAUUGCUUUUAAAACUCCAUGACUGGAAUACUGGAGAGGUUGGCGGAAUUCCGAGUGUAGAGGUGAAAUUCGCAGAUAUUCGGAGGAACACCAAUGGCGUAGGCAGCCAACUGGACAGUUAUUGACGCUCAUGUACGAAAGCGUGGGGAUCAAACAGGAUUAGAUACCCUGGUAGUCCACGCCCUAAACGAUGUGUGCUAGUUGUCGGGGUCUUUAGAUCUCGGUGACGCAGCUAACGCUUUAAGCACACCGCCUGGGGAGUACGGUCGCAAGAUUAAA